ensembl:lncRNA
GGCGGUCUGUGCUCACACGCUAACCCUUGUCUGCGUGUCUCUGGCUGACUUCUUACCUGUAUCUUAUCUUUGUUUUCUUUCUUCUCUGUGAGUGAAGGUUGUCCAACCCCCAUGUCUUUGUAUAAACAAAGUGCGGGCUGUGGGCGAGCAGGCCAGGGAGGAACCACAAGACGCGCUGCGUAGCUGACAUUCCCAGGAUUCCCUGCAGCAGGUCGAGCCUCUGACGGAGGCUGCUGAUGGUCGACACGCUUCAUUUGGGCCCACGGCUGGGAAGCAAAAAAACGUGGCUGCGGAAUUCCUCCAAAAAUGAGGCGUGGAAGGGCUACAAAUAGAAACAAGUUUGACCGUUGGGGCGGCCAGGUGGAUGGAGCGGAGGGAGAUCAGUUUAGAGGCAUAAACUGCACCACCUGCUUGAUGACGUCAAUGGGCAGUAAUGGAUGAGCUGCAUGAUAACUGUAACAAUACAGGAUAAUAAUGCGGCAUGGUGAUUUUUUCCCCCAAAGCCAUUCAGUACAUCUACUGUACCUUGCUGGGUGAAACAGAUCGUGACGGUUUCAAUGAGGGCAUUAACAGUUAACUGAGGGGUCAGAAACAGGGCUCGGUGAAGGUCUCUCUAACCCUAACCCUAACCCUACAGAGAUCACCAACUAUGCUAAAGAAGAAGAAAACCAUAGAGAAUGAGCCGGAAAACUAUCUGCUCACUCGUGGCAGGAGAUGUUUUGCUGCCACACCACUCAAAUGGAACUUUCUCUGAAAGGCGUUGUAAGAAAAACAGGCAGUUGCUAUUUAUACAGCUACACACCUGAGCAGGCAUCUAUCCAAACAAAAGGUCUUGAACCCAGCCCUUGCGUGCAUUUCCAAACCCAGACAUCUGAUUAAUUACAGUGUGGCCGUUGAGGUGAAAAAAAAAAACUAUCUGAUGAAAAGUCAGCGAGUCUGAAGGCUCAACCUGCCC